GACGUAGGUGGCGAACGUUAUCCGGAAUUAUUGGGCGUAAAGGAUGCGUAGAUGGUGUAGUAAGUUAUCGGUGGUAAAUCGAGGCUCAACCUCGUGGAAGUCGGUAAUACUGCUAUACUAGAGGAUAGGAGAGGUUAACGGAACUCCCUGUGGAGCGGUGAAAUGCGUAGAUAUAGGGAAGAACACCAAUAAGGCGAAGGCAGUUAACUACUCUAUUCCUGACAUUGAGGCAUGAAAGCGUGGGGAGCAAAACGG
rnacentral:rRNA from 1 species